UCCUAACAACUUCUACUUGUUAGCUUUCAGAACUACCUUCUCGCUCGUACGAUAGUAGCAGGCCAACAGCUCACACCCAAAUUCCCCAACCCUAGCUUGCGUACCAGCCGCCUCCUGGACCAAUCCUCUCCUCCAUCUUCCUCCAGCUUGCCGAUGGUGGAGACGAUCCGGUGCCUACCAGGGCGAGUAUGCCUAGCGGAGGUGCCAUUCAAGCUCCUAUUCGUCUUGUCGCUGGCGGUCUGGCUGCCCAAGCGGACCUCGCCCUGUCCUAAGCGAACAAGAACUGGAUGGUACUCUGCUCCGGCUACCAGAGGUCGACCUCGCCCCAUCCUUUUUUCUACCCCAAGCCGCCAUUCUCCACAUGUCGCCACCCACCCCACCGAAGCCGGAGAAGAAAACUCCAAUCUGAAGGUAUGCUUAUCUGUUAGUCUGCUACCAAUUUCAGAGUUAAUUUUGUAGCCUUUUAUUUAGAAAGUAUUUUAGUUCAGAUUUUACUACAACUGUCCAUAUCAUGUGAAUAAUAUUUUGGUCAAACAUAGUUACCUGAGUUCCUCCAAUCGAGAGGAGAUUUAGAAAGAUUUAGAAAUUCUGAAUGUUUGGAAGUGAUAUGAAUGGCUACAUUUUUUAAAUUUAAACAUAUGCACAUACAUUGUAGAUGAUAUAAUUUGUUCGUCACUAGCAAUAGCUUGGAAGCUUAGAACGGUUUUUGAGCAAAUGCUAUAUUCACAUAGAUAUGCACGAGCAGUACAGUAGCUGAUCCACUAGCAGGACACUGUGUUAUAUAUACAGAGAGCUAAAGGAAAUUGCUUAGGACAGAAAAUCCAUCAAUCCAAUGGAAUAACCAUACUGCCAGCAUAUAUGCUUAUUCACAUCUUUUCGAUCAAGCUAAAAAUCACCUGUGAUACAUGUCAACUAUAGUGCAAAUCCUAGUUGGUAUGUACUCACACUUUUCGGAGCCAAAUUCAGUUAAUUUGGAGAGACCUUUAUUAGUGUUCAUUUGCCAUAACAAAAACAGAAAUUCUGCAAACUUACCGGAUACUGUACAUGAGAAGCAACUAAUCUCAUCUACCUGUUAAAGUACCUGAACGUGAAGUUCACGCGGGCACAAGACUGAAAUUUAUUACACACAUGCAAAUAUGUGGAACUUCACUGAUUUAUGGGAAUCCACUAUCUUUUUGGACUUUUUUUGUAGUACACAAUUCCUGCUCUAAGUAUGAUGGAUAGAUCGGGCUUGUCGACUAGUACUAAGCUCGGCAACUUCCGUUCAGCUACUGCACCUCGAUCCGAAAUGGAGGGAAUAGCGUGACGUUACCUUUAUAAUCUGCAUUUGUAGGACUGUGAUAAAACUCCCUUUAAAUUGCUCGAUGUCCUUUUUUUGUCCUUGCCAUUUAUGUUUUUACCUAUUCUUUCAAUCUAUAAUUUAUUGAUAGGAAGUCUAUGCAUGGCUGUGCAAGCUUUCACCCCCUCUGGAUCUGGAGCCUAUGUUCAUAUUUUCUCAAGGUAUCCAGAUAGAUUUUUGCAUGCCCGGUUUGUUUGUAUCAAAUUUCGCAACGUAUUUUACAUAUGCCAUGGCCUACUGGAGUAUCCGAACAAUAACUAUUGAGCUCUUUCUUAGGUCAGUUGCGGCAAAUGGCUAAAAGUGCUAUCUGGUCCUUCUAUAUGUUUGAGGAAUUUCAUCCUAAGUUUGACAUCUAGGUUAUGUAUCCUGGGUUGGAGCGGCGAACGAAGCUGGACAUAAUGACCGCCUCUCUUCUCAAAAUGUGUUGUUUGCAAUUCGUACAUGUUUCUAACGUACUUGCAUUUAUCUUCUCUGCUUAACUAGGUGGAUUGAGCCGAUGAAGGGUAUAUAGAGUUCAUGGAGGUUGCCAUAUAUUCCAACAGAUGAAGCUCGAGUAGCAACAAUCACUAAAAUAGGAGGCAAAAUGAUAGAUCUUGUUUGGCAUGUACCAUCAGGUCCUACUCGGUCUUCAUGCAAAUGUACUAAAAAUUAUCAAUGUAUGCCUCUUUUGUGUUGUGUUCUCAUGGACUCAAAUACUCGAAUGCUUGUUGAGCACCGAUAACUUCGGUCCUUUAUUUUCUCAUGCACUCAGACGCUUCCAAUUUGACAUGCAAGAUGUACAAAGUUCUGCCUGAUCUGGGAUGGCUUAAUUUCCUCAUGUGCUCAAAUAUUUGUGAUAUAUAUUAGGGGUUUUUGUGGUCAACAUGUUCAACUCUCUUGAAUAAUUAGGACUUUAUAU
rnacentral:lncRNA from 1 species